rnacentral:lncRNA from 1 species
AGCUUAGAGAUGAAUUGAUUGAUUGAGAUUGCGAGUAUGGCUAAGGCUAGGCGAGGAAUCAGAGUAUAGAGUAUACAGAGGACAAGUGGUAAUGUUCAGGGAGAUUGUCAAGGUUGGUUCUAGAUAGAAUUGUUGAGAUUCAGUUGUAAUCAUAAUUUAAAUAGAUUGGCAGUGAUUCUUCUCAUCGAAGAUGAUCUGAGGUUGUAAGACAUUGUUUAUUUAUAGUGGUUGAUUCUAAUUUCAAUACUGUAACCUGGAUGCGAUCCUGUUUUUAGGGGGUUA